AGAGUUUGAUCCUGGCUCAGAUUGAACGCUGGCGGCAGGCCUAACACAUGCAAGUCGAGCGGAAACAGAGAGUAACUUGUUACUUUGCUGUCGAGCGGCGGACGGGUGAGUAAUGCUUGGGAAACUGCCCAGUCGAGGGGGACAACCAUUGGAAACGAUGGCUAAUACCGCAUACGCCCUACGGGGGAAAGAAGGGGACUCUUCGGAGCCUUUCGCGAUUGGAUGUGCCCAAGUGGGAUUAGCUAGUUGGUGAGGUAAAGGCUCACCAAGGCGACGAUCCCUAGCUGGUUUGAGAGGAUGAUCAGCCACACUGGAACUGAGACACGGUCCAGACUCCUACGGGAGGCAGCAGUGGGGAAUAUUGCACAAUGGGCGCAAGCCUGAUGCAGCCAUGCCGCGUGUAUGAAGAAGGCCUUCGGGUUGUAAAGUACUUUCAGCGAGGAGGAAAGGGUAUAGCUUAAUACGCUAUAUCUGUGACGUUACUCGCAGAAGAAGACCGCUAACU
rnacentral:rRNA from 1 species